UCCCCUUGCUUGUGUGCUCAGCGCACACCCUUGCUCGCCCCUCUCACUCGCACGCUGCGCCAGCCCGCGCGCGCUGCCCUGCCCCUUUGUUCGUCGCCUUGCCGUGCGCGCACCCACACACGGACGUGUGUGUGUGUGUGUGUUGUUCGUGUUCGUAAUUCAAUUCUUGAUUGUUCGUGAUUGUUCCGUGCUACAGGCUGGAUUGGAGGUUAUUUCUAGUUGAGUGCUCGUUAUUGCAAAGUGGCCCCUACGCUUAGGUAUUCAAGAAUAAUAUAGCAGGUUGGUAGAUCGGAAUCAUGUGGCUUGGGAUGAUCGAGAGAGUUGCAUGUUUUCGUAUACUUUGAAACUAUUUAAUAAUACUUUAAUUAUGUUUGAAAUGUUUGAACUAUUUAUGUUUUGGUUUUGGGCCAUUAUGGUUCCGAAUUGUAGGAGGCCUCGAUAUUUCAUUUAUUAUGUUUUUAAAA